CGUUUCAGAUAAUCCAAUCGUUUCAGAUAAUCCAACGUCGGAAUCAGCAACCGACACCAUCAAAUAUAAUUUAAAGCAUUUGAAGUGCUUAGAAAUCACAUUUCAUAAUUUUUCAAUUUCACUACGAAGUGCAUCGAAAAUGAACGGCUAAAAACAAACAAUGCCGUGAAAAUAGAGAUUAUAGCUUCUUUAUGCAGGAACCGGGUUAUCAGGCGUGACUAAGGUAAUGAAAAGAACUUUUCUUAAAAAAUUCAAUCGAUUUAAAUCGUUUUACAGCGUAACCGAGUAAACGGCUUACAUAGACCAUCAAAAAUUAUCAAAAAUGAGUUCAUUCCAUCAUAGCAUAACCGACUUUAAAAAAUCACCAAAUUUAGUUCCAAAGUAGCUAGUUCGAAUGCUCUAGAUCAAAUUUAACUAUGUCAAUCAUCGAUUCAAAUUUUGAGUCAACGAAAACAACUUAAUAAGACAAAUGGCUUUGACCAAUUAAUAAAAUAGU
rnacentral:lncRNA from 1 species